rnacentral:rRNA from 1 species
AGGAAAUAGAUACCCUGGUAGUCCCAGCUGUAAACGAUGCAGACUCGGUGAUGGACUAGCUUAAAUGCUAGUCCAGUGCCGCAGGGAAGCCGUUAAGUCUGCCGCCUGGGUAGUACGGUCGCAAGACUGAAAACUUAAAGGAAUUGGCGGGGGAGCACCACAAGGGGUGAAAGCCUGCGGUUCAAUUGGAGUCAACGCCGGGAAUCUUACCGGGGGUCGGACAGCAGAGUGAAGGUCAAGCUGAAGACUUUACUAGACAAGCUGAGAGGAGGUGCAUGGCCGUCGCCAGCUCGUGCCGUGAGGUGUCCUGUUAAGUCAGGUAACGAGCGAGACCCCUGCUUCUAGUUGCUACUUUUAUUCUUCGGAGUAGAGGGGCUAAUUAGAAGGACUGCCGCCGCUAAGGCGGAGGAAGGAGGGGGUCUACGGCAGGUCAGUAUGCCCCGGAAACCCGUCGGGCCGACACGCGGGCUGCAAUGGUAAGUACAAUAGGUUCCGAUUCCGAAAGGAGGAGGCAAUCCC